rnacentral:rRNA from 1 species
ACUCCUACGGGAGGCAGCAGUGGGGAAUCUUGGACAAUGGGCGCAAGCCUGAUCCAGCCAUGCCGCGUGAGUGAUGAAGGCCCUAGGGUCGUAAAGCUCUUUCGCCAGGGAUGAUAAUGACAGUACCUGGUAAAGAAACCCCGGCUAACUCCGUGCCAGCAGCCGCGGUAAUACGGAGGGGGUUAGCGUUGUUCGGAAUUACUGGGCGUAAAGCGCGCGUAGGCGGAUUAGUCAGUUAGAGGUGAAAUCCCAGGGCUCAACCCUGGAACUGCCUUUAAUACUGCUAGUCUUGAGUUCGAGAGAGGUGAGUGGAAUUCCGAGUGUAGAGGUGAAAUUCGUAGAUAUUCGGAGGAACACCAGUGGCGAAGGCGGCUCACUGGCUCGAUACUGACGCUGAGGUGCGAAAGUGUGGGGAGCAAACAGGAUUAGAUACCCUGGUAGCGACUGA